UAUUUGAUCCUUUUCAGAAGUACUGAGCUAUUCCCAUUUUGGUAUCUUCUAUUCUUCUCUAUGGCCUCCUUCUGCCGCGAAGCGACUAUUGAUCAUUUCAUGAAAAUGAGAUGAAUGCCUGGGCAUUAGCUGUGGUCGGAACGUUGUCGCCAACACAUCAGUUCCCCCCUCUCCACACAGCUGAUGUAUCCAAAGGAACGGCAGUGCUGAUACAGUUUGGGGUCAUUUUGGUAUAGAGCUUUGAUAAAAUCAAAAAUGUUUAUCUUUGUUGAGCUCUCUCAUUAC